rnacentral:lncRNA from 1 species
AGGACCGGACGUGGACCACUCCUAAACUUCAUAUUGAGUUCCCUUAAAAGCAGGAAGUACCCCUUCCUUUUUAAAGGGGAGUGUCAACACUGGCAGGACUCUUUUCUUGAGUUUGAUUCAUAGUCUUUUAAGUCAAUUCCUGGUAGGACGUGAGUCCUACGUACACACAUGGUUUUCUUUUCCAGAACCAGGGAAAUGAGUAACUCCUAAGUAUUGGGCCAGGAAGAACACCUAGAGCUUUAGCAGGUUUUUACCUUUGUGGGUAAUAGUUAAAAAUAUGACGUUAAGUCACCUAGAAUUUUGUUAUGUAGCAAUAACAGUUUUACCACUUUUAUGUAAAAAAAAAAAAAACCCUACCUAUUAAAAAAAUAAAAUCAUCAUAAUGAUAAGUAAAAUUCUAUAGAAUGCAUUUUUUACUAAAAAAUAUUGUAACCACUUUUCUUACAUGUGUAAUUCUGGAUAUUUUCAAAAAUCAUUAUAUACAGAGACCACUUAAAAAUUCACUGAAUCCAUAUGAGAGACUAAAGAUCUAAAUAACUUUAAAAGUCCCACAGUCUUUACAUACUCUUAAAAUUUCAAUCUCUUUAAAAUAUCCAUCUCUUUUAAAAUCCAAAGUCUUUUUACAAUUAAAAGUCUCUUAACUGUGGGCUCCACUAAACCAGUGUCUUCCUUCAAGAGGGAAAAUAUCAGGGCACAGUCACAAUCAAAAGCAAAAGUCAAUCUCCAACUGUCCAAUGUCUGGGAUCCAACUCAUGAUCUUCUGGGCUCCUCCAAGGGCUUGGGUCUCUUCUCCAGCCAUGCCCUUUGUAGCACACGCAUCAUCCUCUAGGCUCCAGAUGCCUGUACUCCACUGCUGCUGCUCUUGGUAAGGUCAACCUGGAUCAUACAUCAGCACUGUUAAUAACAAAGGACCCACCAGAAAGACCCAACUUGGUUUUCCCCUGAAUAAAGUGAACUGGCUCCUGAGCAAAAUUGAAGUGCCAACAUUUACCAAGAACCUGCUUCAUAUCAAGAUAUUUGUGAAGUACUUUACAGAUGCUAAUUUUGAGUAUUACCAAGAACCUGCUUCAUAUCAAGAUAUUUGUGAAGUACUUUACAGAUGCUAAUUUUGAGUAAUCUUUACGAACACCAUGCAGCUGCUCCUACUCCUUCCCCUUUUAUAGACCAGGAUCAAUCUGGGAGCUGAGUCCACAAAGAAAGUAUAUGACCUUGAUGUGGUGGCUCAAACCCAUCCUCACCACUGCAUGCUUCCUUUCUCCAGACAUUUAAAACUGGUCCCCCAAAGUCUUGUUUCUUCCUACACUCAGGCUUGGGGCUUCCUACAGACAGUCACCCCUCCUCACCUUCCACAUCUCCAUGAAACAGCCCUGCUUCAUGGCUAGUGCCCCUGAUGCGCAUUCUCUUGACAAAGUACACUUUUGUUUCUUGCUUCUCAGAGUGGAGAUUGAUGACUUUUGCAGUUCACUUCUACAUUUACCUCUCUGUCUUUGGCUAAGACUCCAUGAGUCCCUGCAUCUAUCCAUCUCACAAUCCAUAGUGUAAAGGGUUGGCUGGCGAGUGCCACACCAUUCUCAGUGUUUUAAACAGCCAUAUGCCAGCUGCUAUCAGCUCAUUUCUAAUCCUGUGGUGUUAAGUUCUGCAAAGAUAAAGAACAAAGGUUGAGAACAGCCGUUCAACAGACUUGUUUAGAAAAGAGGUGGACUCUGGAAGAUUCUUCCAUCUUAAGUUACUUCUGGACCAAAAGCUUUAGCCUACCCAAGUUCACUUUUGCCAAGAGAAUAUGCAGACUGCUUCUGCAUUCCAAUUGCAACACCAUGAAUCUUCAAGCUCAGAGGGCUGACACCAAAUAAAGGAGGUAGGAAUGGGAUAAGAGGUUGGUUUUAUUAUUAUUUUUAUUGUUGUUAUCAUUAUUUUAUUAUAAUGCUAUCUCAUUAUUAGUUCAAGCUGGCCUUGAGUUCAAGGCAACAGCCUCCUAAGUUCUAAGAUUCCAGCUAUGUAAUUCUGAAUUUCCUUGGCUAGGAUUAGUAAUUGCUAAAUGUCUUGUUCUAAGGUACACCAAUUACACAUACUUCCUUUAGAAAGCGUAAUAUCCCUUCAGAUUCCACAGUUAAAGGAAAUGCUUCCCCAAGCCCUGCCUUGGAAUUUCACAAUGCAUAUUAGCCCAUCUGAGAAGCUGAAGGUUGGAGAAGGGAGGGUCUGAGGGGAUGGGCUCAGCACAUCUAUCUAAGUUUAUUUUGCAUGUUUAGCUGUAGAGUGCUGUCUUAGAGUAGAUUUCACCAAAAGCAGAUCUGGAGAUAGGAUUCAAUGCAAAUACUUUUAUUUAGAAGGUGAAUGUAUAAGAAGUAUUAGCAGGGGAGACGGGGAAACUAGGCUGGAAAUAGAAACCAACUCAACUUGCAUUAAGGAACUAAUUUAAAUUUUUUGGACGACCAGUCCUCUGGACAGCUUUGAAGAAUGUGCUUCACAGAUGUCUUAAGGAUCGAGGAGUUGCUUACUUAAAAUGUUCAACAGCCAUAGUAAAUGGAAUUCCUUUUUCUGGGGAAAGGAACACACUCUAUAUACAGUAUUUCCAACUUACCUAGCACAGCACAGAGAGAGAACAUGACCUUAGUGAUGAUGGUGACAGCAGGUGCUUGCCAUGGUGCCCUUGAGUCAUUGUGUAGUACAGGCAAUGUUGAUUGACAGGCCUGUGAUAUAACGAUGUGGGAAGCAUGCUCUCCCUUCUGUCUUUUUCUAUUUCAAGCAGGAAUCACAGGAAGGCCUAAUAGCAGUAGUAUUUGAGAAACAGAAAUAGGAAAACAGAAUGCUCAAUGCAGUCGAGCAGUCCAGUGAAUUCUAAAAAGCUCUGAUUUAGCUUGACACACAGAGACAGCAUUAUUCUAUAGCUGGUAAAACUCCAAAAGGAAUUCCC